rnacentral:tRNA from 1 species
GUAAAUAUAGUUUAACAAAAACGUUAGAUUGUGAAUCUAGCAAUAAAAGCUCAAAUCUUUUUAUUUACC